rnacentral:rRNA from 1 species
CUUGACACUGAACAUUGAGCCUUGAUGUGUAGGAUAGGUGGGAGGCUUGGAAGUGUGGACGCCAGUCUGCAUGGAGCCGACCUUGAAAUACCACCCUUUAAUGUUUGAUGUUCUAACGUUGACCCGUAAUCCGGGUUGCGGACAGUGUCUGGUGGGUAGUUUGACUGGGGCGGUCUCCUCCUAAAGAGUAACGGAGGAGCACGAAGGUUGGCUAAUCCUGGUCGGACAUCAGGAGGUUAGUGCAAUG